rnacentral:rRNA from 1 species
GACGAACGCUGGCGGCGUGCCUAAUACAUGCAAGUCGAACGAACUCUGGUAUUGAUUGGUGCUUGCAUCAUGAUUUACAUUUGAGUGAGUGGCGAACUGGUGAGUAACACGUGGGAAACCUGCCCAGAAGCGGGGGAUAACACCUGGAAACAGAUGCUAAUACCGCAUAACAACUUGGACCGCAUGGUCCGAGCUUGAAAGAUGGCUUCGGCUAUCACUUUUGGAUGGUCCCGCGGCGUAUUAGCUAGAUGGUGGGGUAACGGCUCACCAUGGCAAUGAUACGUAGCCGACCUGAGAGGGUAAUCGGCCACAUUGGGACUGAGACACGGCCCAAACUCCUACGGGAGGCAGCAGUAGGGAAUCUUCCACAAUGGACGAAAGUCUGAUGGAGCAACGCCGCGUGAGUGAAGAAGGGUUUCGGCUCGUAAAACUCUGUUGUUAAAGAAGAACAUAUCUGAGAGUAACUGUUCAGGUAUUGACGGUAUUUAACCAGAAAGCCACGGCUAACUACGUGCCAGCAGCCGCGGUAAUACGUAGGUGGCAAGCGUUGUCCGGAUUUAUUGGGCGUAAAGCGAGCGCAGGCGGUUUUUUAAGUCUGAUGUGAAAGCCUUCGGCUCAACCGAAGAAGUGCAUCGGAAACUGGGAAACUUGAGUGCAGAAGAGGACAGUGGAACUCCAUGUGUAGCGGUGAAAUGCGUAGAUAUAUGGAAGAACACCAGUGGCGAAGGCGGCUGUCUGGUCUGUAACUGACGCUGAGGCUCGAAAGUAUGGGUAGCAAACAGGAUUAGAUACCCUGGUAGUCCAUACCGUAAACGAUGAAUGCUAAGUGUUGGAGGGUUUCCGCCCUUCAGUGCCGCAGCUAACGCAUUAAGCAUUCCGCCUGGGGAGUACGGCCGCAAGGCUGAAACUCAAAGGAAUUGACGGGGGCCCGCACAAGCGGUGGAGCAUGUGGUUUAAUUCGAAGCUACGCGAAGAACCUUACCAGGUCUUGACAUACUAUGCAAAUCUAAGAGAUUAGACGUUCCCUUCGGGGACAUGGAUACAGGUGGUGCAUGGUUGUCGUCAGCUCGUGUCGUGAGAUGUUGGGUUAAGUCCCGCAACGAGCGCAACCCUUAUUAUCAGUUGCCAGCAUUAAGUUGGGCACUCUGGUGAGACUGCCGGUGACAAACCGGAGGAAGGUGGGGAUGACGUCAAAUCAUCAUGCCCCUUAUGACCUGGGCUACACACGUGCUACAAUGGAUGGUACAACGAGUUGCGAACUCGCGAGAGUAAGCUAAUCUCUUAAAGCCAUUCUCAGUUCGGAUUGUAGGCUGCAACUCGCCUACAUGAAGUCGGAAUCGCUAGUAAUCGCGGAUCAGCAUGCCGCGGUGAAUACGUUCCCGGGCCUUGUACACACCGCCCGUCACACCAUGAGAGUUUGUAACACCCAAAGUCGGUGGGGUAACCUUUUAGGAACCAGCCGCCUAAGGUGGGACAGAUGAUUAGGGUG